ensembl:snRNA U6 U6 spliceosomal RNA
GUGUUUGCCUCGGCAGUGCAUAUACUAAAAUUAGAAUGAUACAGAGAUUAGUGUGGCCCCUGUGCAAGGAUGACACGUUCUAAAAAUUUAUUAAUAUUU